GCCUAAUUGUUCUGUUAAUCAUUCAUGCCCUUGUUGCACAGGAUACCUCACACGCAGAAAACACGGAUGACUGCAGCGACGCAGACCAUGACGCUCAAGGGCCGAUUCGUGUGCCGGAACGGCGGCGAUACACACGGUCUGCUGUUCCGACAGGAAUCAGAGGUCUGCAGGCCCUGGGCCUUCAGCGCCUUCUUAAAAGAGAAAAGGAGUUUCUUGUCCGCCAAAAAGAAAUAGAGCUGCAACACAGACGGCUCGACCAGGAAGAACGACGCAUGGCACUUGAGGAGCGAAAAUUGGCAUUGGAUGAAGAGCGACUGAAAAUGGAGGCUCAGCACCACAAUGCCACCACUGAAAUUUUGCAUGGAAUGAGCAACAAGCUCGAAGAAUUAGAAAAAAAAA
rnacentral:lncRNA from 1 species